rnacentral:tRNA from 1 species
GGGGAUGUAGCUCAGUGAUAGAGCGCUCGCUUCCAAUGUGAGAGGCCCCGGAUUUAAUCCCCGGCAUCUCCA